ensembl:lncRNA
AUGGCGGCACCAACAAUAACAGCGGCAACAACAACACUGGCACCAACAACAACGGCAGAACUAACAACAACAACACUGGCAACAACAACAACGGCAGAACUAACAACAACAACACAGGCAACAACGACGGCACCACCAACAACAACACUGGAACCAACAGCAACGGCGGCACCAACAACAACUACACUGGCACCAACAACAAUGAGAGCACCAACAACAACAACGGCACUAACAACAGCAACACUGACACCAACAACAACGACGGCACCACCAACAACAACACUGGAACCAAUAGCAACGGCAGCACCAACAACAUCGACGGCACUAACAACAGCUACAGUGGCACCAACAACAACGAAGGCACUAACAACAACACUGAUACCAACAACAACAACAAUGGCACCAACAACCACUUCUGUGGCACCAACAACAAGACUGGCACCAACAAUAUCGGUGGCACCAACAACACUGGCACCAACAACAACAAAGGCGACAACACCAACAACAACAAAGGCGGCACCAACAACACCAACAACAACAAAGGCAACACCAACAACAACAUUGGCAACAACAACAACAUUGGCAACAACAACACCGAAACCAACAACAAAGCCGACAACACCAACAACGCCAAAAACAGUAACAACACAGAAACCAACAACAAAACCAAAACCACCAACAACAACGCCAAAACCAGCAACAACACCAAAAACAGUAACAACACGGAAACCAACAACAACGCCAAAAACAGCAACAACACAUAAACCAACAACAACGGCAAAAACAGUAACAACACGUAAACCAACAACAACGCCAAAAACAGAAACAACACGGAAACCAACAGCAAUGCCAAAACCACCAUCAACGCCAAAAACAGUAACAACACGUAAACCAACAACAAAGCCAAUAACAGUAACAACACGGAAACCAACAACAAAGCCAAUAACAGUAACAACACUGAAACCAACAACAAUGUCGGAACUUGUAAAUCGUGAGAUGUCACUGGCAAUAGACGAGACUUACGAUGCAAGCCUGAAUAACCGAAACAGUGACAAAUUCAAGAAAUACAAAGCAGAUAUUGAGGAGGCAGUAAGUGUUGCAUAA